AUUGAACGCUGGCGGCAUGCCUUACACAUGCAAGUCGAACGGCAGCACGGGUGCUUGCACCUGGUGGCGAGUGGCGAACGGGUGAGUAAUACAUCGGAACAUGUCCUGUAGUGGGGGAUAGCCCGGCGAAAGCCGGAUUAAUACCGCAUACGAUCUACGGAUGAAAGCGGGGGACCUUCGGGCCUCGCGCUAUAGGGUUUGCCGAUGGCUGAUAGCUAGUUGGUGGGGGAAAAGCCUAGCAAGGCGGCGAUCAGGAGGUGGUCGGAGUGGACGAUCGCCGACAUGGGAACUGAGCCACGGACAUGACUCCUACGGUAGGCCGCAGAGGGGAACUUUGGGCAGUGGGCGAAAGCAUGGUACAGUGAUGCCACGUGUGAUAAGACGGCGUUCGGGGUGUAAUGAACGCUUGUCCGGAAAGAAACCCUUGGCCCUAUUACAGACGGGGGAUGACGGUAACGGAAAAAUAAGCACCGGCUAACUACGUG
rnacentral:rRNA from 1 species